GAUGAACGCUGGCGGCGUGCCUAAUACAUGCAAGUCGAGCGAACAGACGAGGAGCUUGCUCCUCUGACGUUAGCGGCGGACGGGUGAGUAACACGUGGAUAACCUACCUAUAAGACUGGUAUAACUUCGGGACACCGGCGCUAAUACCGUAUAACAUGUUGAACCGCAUGGUUUAACAGUGAAAGACGGUCUUGCUGUCACUUAUAGAUGGAUCCGCGCCGCAUUAGCUAGUUGUUAAGGUAACGGCUUACCAAGGCAACGAUGCGUAGCCGACGUGACAGGGUGAUCGGCCACACUGGAACUGAGACACGGUCCAUACGCCUACGGGAGGCAGCAGUAGGGAAUCUUUCGCAAUGGGCGAAAGCAUGACAGAGCAACGCCGCGUGAGUGAAGAAGGUCUUCGGAUCGUAAAACUCUGUUAUUAGGGAAGAACAAAUGUGUAAGUAACUAUGCACGUCUUGACGGUACCUAAUCAGAAAGCCACGGCUAACUACGUG
rnacentral:rRNA from 1 species